rnacentral:lncRNA from 1 species
GCCCUUCCUUUCCCACCGUUAAAAUACAACAACCCGGCCAGGCACCGUGGCUCACGCCUGUAAUCCCAGCACUUUGGGAGGCUGAGGCGGGCGGAUCACGAGGUCAGGAGAUCGAGACCAUCCUGGCUAACAAGGUGAAACCCCGUCUCUACUAAAAACACAAAAAAUUAGCCAGGCGUGGUGGCGGGCGCCUGUAGUCCCAGCUACUCGGGAGGCUGAGGCAGGAGAAUGGCGUGAACCCGGGAGGCGGAGCUUGCAGUGAGCCGAGAUAGCGCCACUGCAGUCCGGCCUGGGCGAAAGAGCGAGACUCCGUCUCAAAAAGAAAAAAAGAAAAAAAGGAAAUACAACACUCACUCCACCCAGAAGACAUGUUCUCCAAAGUGAGCCUUCUAUGUCACUUGUCCCGAAAGAAAAGAAAAGAACAAGACUUCCUGAUUGAUAACUGAUCUGGGCCAGGAAUGCAGCAGCACUUGAUGUCUGAGGGAAGCGGUUUUUCAUUGAAGAGGGGAGGAAGACGAACGUGCCCCAAAGCAAGGUGGGGACUUUGACUACAAACUCAGUGGGGCUCCGCUUUCUGCCUGUCGCUGGCUCGUUUUAUCGGGCACUGCGAUUGAAGCAGGAGAUUAGAUUUGGGACCUUUAACUCAACCUAAUCCCAAAUGCACCUUUAUUUUAUGUCUCACUGAGGAAGAACUAACAUUGCAAUGGAAAACUAUGGCAUCCUGCUUUCUUUAGAAUUUUAUUUUCAACUUAUUUGAAUGGGCUUUAUAUUUAAUUAGAAUUGGCUCAAAUGAUUAUGGAGGCU